GACGAACGCUGGCGGCAUGCCUAACACAUGCAAGUCGAGCGAGUAGAUCCCUUCGGGGUGAAGCUAGCGGCGGACGGGUGAGUAACACGUGGGCAACCUGCCUCAUAGAGGGGAAUAGCCUUCCGAAAGGAAGAUUAAUACCGCAUAAGAUUGUAGUACCGCAUGGUGUAGCAAUUAAAGGAGCAAUCCGCUAUGAGAUGGGCCCGCGGCGCCUUAGCUAGUUGGUGAGGUAACGGCUCACCAAGGCGACGAUGCGUAGCCGACCUGAGAGGGUGAUCGGCCACAUUGGGACUGAGACACGGCCCAGACUCCUACGGGAGGCAGCAGUGGGGAAUAUUGCACAAUGGGGGAAACCCUGAUGCAGCAAUGCCGCGUGAGUGAUGACGGCCUUCGGGUUGUAAAGCUCUGUCUUCGGGGACGAUAAUGACGGUACCCGAGGAGGAAGCCACGGCUAACUACGUGCCAGCCGCCGCCGUAA
rnacentral:rRNA from 1 species